CAACCCUCAAGCACUGCUUGGUGUUGGGCGUCUUGUCUCUCACGAGACUCGCCUUAAAAUCAUUGGCAGCCGACCUACUGGUUUCGGAGCGCAGCACAAUUCUUGCACUUUGAAUCAGCCUUGGUUGAGCAUCCAUCAAGACCACAUUUUUAAC
rnacentral:misc_RNA from 1 species